rnacentral:lncRNA from 1 species
UUUGCUCUUGAACUAGGAGUUUCCUUUUAAGCUUAAUUUGAAGAUCAUUAUCAUGUUCAUCCAUGUGGAAGUUACAAGAUACCUUGAGGAUCUCUUAUGAGACUUGUGUGAUUGCUUAUGCUUUGUGCUUGCUUAUUCCAAAGGAUGGGAACUUACUUGGAUCAUCUAUAUGAUCUCAAGAGAGGAACUCCUAGUGUGGUUUCAUUACUUAGCCUUCUUCUUC